rnacentral:rRNA from 1 species
AGCGAACGCUGGCGGCAGGCCUAACACAUGCAAGUCGAACGAAGUCUUCGGACUUAGUGGCGGACGGGUGAGUAACACGUGGGAACGUACCUUUUGGUUCGGAACAACUCAGGGAAACUUGAGCUAAUACCGAAUGUGCCCUUAGGGGGAAAGAUUUAUCGCCAUUAGAGCGGCCCGCGUUAGAUUAGCUAGUUGGUGAGGUAAAGGCUCACCAAGGCUACGAUCUAUAGCUGGUCUGAGAGGAUGAUCAGCCACACUGGGACUGAGACACGGCCCAGACUCCUACGGGAGGCAGCAGUGGGGAAUCUUGCGCAAUGGGCGAAAGCCUGACGCAGCCAUGCCGCGUGAAUGAUGAAGGUCUUAGGAUUGUAAAAUUCUUUUAGCAGGGACGAUAAUGACGGUACCUGCAGAAAAAGCCCCGGCUAACUUCGUGCCAGCCGCCGCAGUAAGAC